CAGAGGCGCGGUUUUCAUGAGUAUCCGUUGGGAUGAUACGUCUGCCAGGGCGGUUGCCUGCGGAGAAAGGGCAAGCCGCCGAAGGCGAUGCACGGCACGCAUCGUACCUGGGCCCGUGGCCGAAAAGGCGCGGGACUGUCAUGCCGAUACGGCAUGUUGCGCUGU
rnacentral:ncRNA from 1 species